GUCUACGGCCAUGCCACCCUGAGCAAGCCCGAUCCCAUCUGAUCUCAGAAGCUAAGCAGGGUCGGGUCUGGUUUGUACUUAAAUGGGAGACCACCUAGGAAGACCAAGUACUGUAGGUA
ensembl:rRNA 5S_rRNA 5S ribosomal RNA